AGGAUAGAGCACUCCGUGCUGCAAAGGCUGUUGGAUUAAAGGACUACGAUCAUCUGGAACCCAGCAGGAUUUUCCAUGCUGCCCGAUUAGUUAAAAUUCUCGAAGCCUAUGCAAUCUAUGACUCUGAAAUUGGCUACUGUCAGGGCAUGAGUGAUCUCCUUUCUCCGAUUAUUACUGUUAUUACAGCGGAUGCUGAAGCAUUCUGGUGUUUUGUGGGAUUCAUGAAGAAGGCUCGCCAUAAUUUUAGGCUUGACGAAGUGGGAAUUCGAAGGCAAUUGAAUAUUGUUUCCAAGAUUAUAAAAUUUAAAGACUUGCACCUUUUCAAGCACUUGGAGAAGCUACAGGCUGAGGAUUGUUUUUUCGUUUAUAGGAUGGUGGUGGUGAUGUUCAAAAGUCAACUCCCUCCUGGUGUCUCUGGGAGGUGAUGUGGGCAGAUCAGGCAGCCUUAAGGGCUGGCAUUAGCACGUCAGCAUGGAGCAUGAUAAGCCAGCGAGUGCCACCAACAGAGGAUUUGUUGCUUUAUGCUAUUGCUGCUUCUGUAUUGCAGAGGAGGAAAUUGAUUAUACAGAGUUACAACAGCAUGGAGGAGAUCUUAAGGGAGUGCAACAGCAUGGCUGGGCAACUAGAUAUAUGGAAACUCUUGGAUGAUGCACAUGAAUUGGUGAUGACCCUGCACGACAAAAUAGAGACCGCUUUCUGAUGGCUGCUUUUCGAGUUUGCUAACUAAUUUAUGUACUUAAACUCUUGUUCCGUGGGCUAGUUUAGUCUGGUGCUUUGCUUUAAACAAGCAAUCGUCUACUGUGAAUUGAAUUCUCUGUUAGGCUGCUACUGGUCAAAUGACUUGAGAGGAUUUAUUUAGAUAUCUGCAUUUGAUUCUAGCACGUACUGAAAUGCCAGCAGCUUCUGAAUUCACUGCCAUAGCAUAUCAAACAGGUAAGGC
rnacentral:misc_RNA from 1 species